rnacentral:rRNA from 1 species
UUAUAAGGGUUUUAUGGUUAAUUUUAUUAAAUUUAUUUAUUUUAUUUAUUUAUUUUUAGUAUUUUAUAGAACUAAUUAUUGUGUUGUGACUGAUAAGGUUUAAUAUUAAUAAUGUGUUAGUAUUAUUUAGUACCUUUUGUAUCAGGGUUAAUUUAUUAAUAAAUUUAUAUUGUUUAUCCCGAAUUAAAGAUAUUUAAGAUUAAAUUUUUUCUAUACAUUUUAUAUUGUAAAUUAAUUUAUUUUUAGUAGUUAUAAGCUAAUCGUUCUUUAAAUAUAUCUGGUUUUAUGGGAAUUAAAUUUAAUUUAAUCUUAUAUCUUAAGUUUAUAUAAUAGGGGAUAAUCUCUAUUUUUUGUUAAAAUUUAUUUUUCUUUUAUUUUUUUUAUCAUUAGUAUCUUUGUAUUUAAGUUCAUAAUAGAUUAGAAUUAUUAUUUAUGAUUUUUUUUUAUUUAUCUUUAUACUGUAAUUAUUUAGUAAAUUUUUAUUUAUUUUUAUUAAUGAUUGAAUUAGUAUAAUUUUUAUAUAAUUAUUUAUGAAUUCGACAAUUUUAAUUUUCAACUGUUUAUCAAAAACAUUUCUUUAAGAUUAAAUUUAAAGUAGGUUCUGCCCUAUGAUAGAUUAAUUUAAAUGGCUGCAGUAUUUUGACUGUACAAAGGUAGCAUAAUAAUUAGUUUCUUAAUUAGGGACUUGUAUGAAUGAAUUAAUGAGAAAUUUAUUUUAUUAUUAUUAUUUUUAUAAUUUAAUUUUUAAGUCAAAAAGCUUAAUUUUAUUUUUGGGACGAUAAGACCCUAUAGAACUUUAAAAUUUUUUAGUUAUUUUAUGUUUUAGGUUUAUAUUUUUUAUUAUUAUUUAAUUUUUUUACUGGGGUGGUAAAUAAAUUUUAACUUUAUUUUUUAAAUUCAUUAAUUUAUGAUUAUUUGAUCCAUUGAAGUGUGAUUAUAAGAUUAAGUUACCUUAGGGAUAACAGCGUAAUUUUAAUGGGGAGUUCAUAUUUAUAUUAAAGUUUGCGACCUCGAUGUUGAAUUAAGAUAAAGUUAAGGGGUAGGUUCUUUAAAGUUAGGUCUGUUCGACCUUUAAAUUCUUACAUGAUUUGAGUUCAAACCGGUGUAAGCCAGGUUGGUUUCUAUCUAAUUAAUUUUUGAUUUAUUUAGUACGAAAGGACCAAUAAGUUCUAUAAUUUAUAGUUAAAUUUGAAUUAUAU